CCAACGGAAAGCUCUCUCUGUUGUCGGCUUUUCAACGGCUUAUCAACUGGCCUACCAACAACAAGUAUGGGUAACUUGGGGCUAAGCAUGUGACGGCCGCCAAGAGGGAGCAGCUUUGCUCUCAUCAAACGGAAAGCUCUCUCUGUUGUUGGUUUUCUAAGGCUUAUCAACUGGCAAUCCAACAACAAAUACGGUGUUAAGUAAAUGUGUGAAGUGCUGUGGGUGCUGAAUGAGAACAUCAUGGAACCCGUUCAUGAGGAACGCAUUUCGUGGAAGUACCAUUCGGGACCCUGAUAUUAAUAUCGUCGUUACAGCUGAUACUCUACGAUUCAACAGUGAAAAUAGUGAAUUGUAAUCCAAGAACUGAAAUAAUGGAUAAGAAUAGAGUAAAAAAUUGCUUCUUUGUUCGCUUGUGUGUUUGAACUUCCAUUGUUCGUGGAAAAUAAGCACAUGGCGGCUAUCUUGGAAAAUAUUGGAAAACGUGGGUAAGUGAAUUGGAAAGUUUUGAUUUUCUACUACUAUAUACUAUAUAUGUAUAUAUAAAUGUAACAGUACAGUAAGAAAGCAGCAAGGAAGUAGUAUCUGGCAGUUGUACGAUCUGUUCACUGUACUAUGAACUGAGAUAAAUAAAACGUGAGCUGAACUGAAGCACCUGUUACGAUAAGCCGCAACCUUGAGGCGGAC